rnacentral:rRNA from 1 species
GACGAACCGUGCGAACGUUGUUCGGAUUCACUGGGCUUAAAGGGCGCGUAGGCGGUCAGCACAAGUCAGUUGUGAAAUCUCCGGGCUUAACUCGGAAAGGUCAACUGAUACUGUGCGACUAGAGUGCGGAAGGGGCAACUGGAAUUCUCGGUGUAGCGGUGAAAUGCGUAGAUAUCGUAAGGAAGACCAGUGGCGAAGGCGGGUCUCUGGACAGUUCCUGACGCUGAGGCACGAAGGCCAGGGGAGCAAACGGGG